rnacentral:rRNA from 1 species
ACGGGAGGCAGCAGUGAGGAAUAUUGGUCAAUGGGCGAGAGCCUGAACCAGCCAAGUAGCGUGAAGGAUGACUGCCCUACGGGUUGUAAACUUCUUUUAUACGGGAAUAAAAAAGGCCACGUGUGGCCUCUUGUAUGUACCGUAUGAAUAAGCAUCGGCUAAUUCCGUGCCAGCAGCCGCGGUAAUACGGAAGAUGCGAGCGUUAUCCGGAUUUAUUGGGUUUAAAGGGAGCGUAGGCGGGUCUUUAAGUCAGUGGUCAAAGCGUGUGGCUCAACCAUACCACGCCAUUGAUACUGGAGACCUUGAGUGCACAUAAGGAUGGUGGAAUUCGUCGUGUAGCGGUGAAAUGCUUAGAUAUGACGAAGAACUCCGAUUGCGAAGGCAGCCUACUGUAGCGUUACUGACGCUAAAGCUCGAAAGUGUGGGUAUCGAACAGGAUUAGAUACCCUGGUA